GAUGAACGCUGGCGGCGUGCCUAAUACAUGCAAGUCGAGCGAAUGGAUUAAGAGCUUGCUCUUAUGAAGUUAGCGGCGGACGGGUGAGUAACACGUGGGUAACCUGCCCAUAAGACUGGGAUAACUCCGGGAAACCGGGGCUAAUACCGGAUAACAUUUUGAACCGCAUGGUUCGAAAUUGAAAGGCGGCUUCGGCUGUCACUUAUGGAUGGACCCGCGUCGCAUUAGCUAGUUGGCGAGGUAACGGCUCACCAAGGCAACGAUGCGUAGCCGACCUGAGAGGGUGAUCGGCCACACUGGGACUGAGACACGGCCCAGACUCCUACGGGAGGCAGCAGUAGGGAAUCUUCCGCAAUGGACGAAAGUCUGACGGAGCAACGCCGCGUGAGUGAUGAAGGCCUUCGGGUCGUAAAACUCUGUUGUUAGGGAAGAACAAGUGCUAGUUGAAUAAGCUGGCACCUUGACGGUACCUAACCAGAAAGCCACGGCUAACUACGUGCCAGCCGCCGCCGUAA
rnacentral:rRNA from 1 species